AAGCUUGAAUUCAAAGUAACCAAUGAAUGACUGACAAGUUAUAUUUCUGUGUUUUGCUCCUUCUGAAGAAGUAUAUUUGCAUGUGCUGUUCUAUAAGA